GAUGAACGCUGGCGGCGUGCCUAAUACAUGCAAGUCGAGCGAACAGACGAGGAGCUUGCUCCUCUGACGUUAGCGGCGGACGGGUGAGUAACACGUGGAUAACCUACCUAUAAGACUGGGAUAACUUCGGGAAACCGGAGCUAAUACCGGAUAAUAUAUUGAACCGCAUGGUUCAAUAGUGAAAGACGGUUUUGCUGUCACUUAUAGAUGGAUCCUCGCCGCAUUAGCUAGUUGGUAAGGUAACGGCUUACCAAGGCAACGAUGCGUAGCCGACCUGAGAGGGUGAUCGGCCACACUGGAACUGAGACACGGUCCAGACUCCUACGGGAGGCAGCAGUAGGGAAUCUUCCGCAAUGGGCGAAAGCCUGACGGAGCAACGCCGCGUGAGUGAUGAAGGUCUUCGGAUCGUAAAACUCUGUUAUUAGGGAAGAACAAAUGUGUAAGUAACUAUGCACGUAUUGACGGUACCGAAUCAGAAAGCCACGGCUAACUACGUG
rnacentral:rRNA from 1 species